rnacentral:rRNA from 1 species
GACGAACGCUGGCGGCGUGCUUAACACAUGCAAGUCGAACGGAAAGGCCCUGCUUUUGUGGGGUGCUCGAGUGGCGAACGGGUGAGUAACACGUGAGUAACCUGUCCUUGACUUUGGGAUAACUUCAGGAAACUGGGGCUAAUACCGCAUAGGAUCUCCUGCUGCAUGGUGGGCGUGGGAAAGUUUCGGCGGUUGGUGAUGGACUCGCGGCUUAUCAGCUUGUUGGUGGGGUAGUGGCUUACCAAGGCUUUGACGGGUAGCCGGCCUGAGAGGGUGACCGGCCACAUUGGGACUGAGCUACGGCCCAGACUCCUAUGGUAGGCAGCAGUGGGGAGUAUUGCACAGUAGGCGGAAGCCUGAUGCGGCCACGCCGCGUGCGGGAUGACGUGCUUCGGGUUGUAAACCGCUUUCGCCUGUGCCGAAGCGUGAGUGACGGUAAUGGGUAAAGAAGCACCGGCUAACUACGUG